rnacentral:rRNA from 1 species
CCUACGGGUGGCUGCAGUGGGGAAUAUUGCACAAUGGGCGCAAGCCUGAUGCAGCCAUGCCGCGUGUGUGAAGAAGGCCUUCGGGUUGUAAAGCACUUUCAGCGGGGAGGAAGGCGGUGAGGUUAAUAACCUCAUCGAUUGACGUUACCCGCAGAAGAAGCACCGGCUAACUCCGUGCCAGCAGCCGCGGUAAUACGGAGGGUGCAAGCGUUAAUCGGAAUUACUGGGCGUAAAGCGCACGCAGGCGGUCUGUCAAGUCGGAUGUGAAAUCCCCGGGCUCAACCUGGGAACUGCAUUCGAAACUGGCAGGCUAGAGUCUUGUAGAGGGGAGUAGAAUUCCAGGUGUAGCGGUGAAAUGCGUAGAGAUCUGGAGGAAUACCGGUGGCGAAGGCGGCCCCCUGGACAAAGACUGACGCUCAGGUGCGAAAGCGUGGGGAGCAAACAGGAUUAGAUACCCCGGUAGUC